UACGUAGGGUGCGAGCGUUGUCCGGAUUUAUUGGGCGUAAAGGGCUCGUAGGCGGCGUGUCGCGUCGGGAGUGAAAGCCCGUUGCUUAACGGCGGGUUGGCUUUCGGUACGGGCAGACUAGAGUACUGCAGGGGAGACUGGAAGUUCCUGGUGUAGCGGUGGAAUGCGCAGAUAUCAGGAGGAACACCGGUGGCGAAGGCGGGUCUCUGGGCAGUAACUGACGCUGAGGAGCGAAAGCGUGGGGAGCGAACAGG
rnacentral:rRNA from 1 species